AUUGAACGCUGGCGGCAGGCCUAACACAUGCAAGUCGAACGAGUGGCGGACGGGUGAGUAAUGUCUGGGAAACUGCCCGAUGGAGGGGGAUAACUACUGGAAACGGUAGCUAAUACCGCAUACCAUCGGAUGUGCCCAGAUGGGAUUAGCUAGUAGGUGGGGUAACGGCUCACCUAGGCGACGAUCCCUAGCUGGUCUGAGAGGAUGACAGGCCAUAUGGGAACUGAGACACGGCCCAGACUCAUACGGGAGGCAGCAGUGGGGAAUUUUGCACAAUGGGCGAAACCCGGAUGAAGCCAUGCCGCGUGUAUGAGGAAGGCCUUCGGGUUGUAAAGUACUUUUAGCGGGGAGGCGUUACCUGCAGAAGAAGCACCGGCUAACUCCGGGCCAGCAGCCGCGGUAAUUC
rnacentral:rRNA from 1 species